GAUGAACGCUAGCGGCAGGCCUAAUACAUGCAAGUCGAACGGAUAUAUGUUUUUCGGAAUAUAUAUUAGUGGCGCACGGGUGAGUAACACGUACAUAACUUGCCCUCAAGCGGGGGAUAGCCUUGGGAAACUGAGAGUAAUACCCCAUAGAAUUAUUGGACGGCAUCGUUUGAUAAUUAAAACUACGGUGCUUGGGGAUAGAUGUGCGUCUGAUUAGCUAGUUGGUGAGGUAACUGCUCACCAAGGCGACGAUCAGUAGGGGGCGUGAGAGCGUGGCCCCCCACACGGGUACUGAGACACGGACCCGACUCCUAACGGGAGGCAGCAGUAAGGAAUAUUGGUCAAUGGAGGGAACUCUGAACCAGCCAUGCCGCGUGAAGGAUGACGGCCCUCUGGGUUGUAAACUUCUUUUGGAUGGGGCGAAAAAACGGGAUUUAUCCUGGACUGACGGUACCAUCAGAAUAAGCACCGGCUAACUCCAUG
rnacentral:rRNA from 1 species